CCUUCUCAUUUGAUCCUUGUAAGGAGCUGAGGGGAUAGGGUGAGCCUGGAGCAUGAUAAUUCCCAUUUUAAAGAUGAGUGAACUGAAGCCCAGAGACGUAAAGUGACUUUUCCCAGAGUCACAUGUCAGUUUAAGUGUUCCCCGCUCAACCUCCAAACCAGUAAGAAGAGCGCAGCAUCCUUGCUCAGUGAAGAUGGUGUCCCGGAUGUAAACGACAGCACAAGAGGCUGGUUCCUGACAUGGCCUUACAGUCUUCCAUGGCCCCUGUGAGCAGGCCCGUGAGUAAUGAGGCUCUGCCGCUGGAGAGAGGAGCCUUUUCAACAGCCUCUCCAGGACAGAAAGAGAGAGCCACAUUUAGAGGCACCCACGCCCUCGGGAACCCACCUGGCCAUCCCAGGCCCCUCUGCCUCUCCAAAGCAGGGCAGAGGGGGCUCUCCUGAGGCUCAGCCCUGAAGAAAGCCCUCGGCAGGGUGCUCAACAGAACAGAAGAUGCAAGAUCUGGGUCUUGAAAACAGCAGUCGACAAACUACAGCCCGCAGGCCAAGUCCACCUGCCACCUGUUUUUUGAAUAAAGUCUUAUUGAAACAAAGGCACA